UAAAUGCCAAUCUAAAUAGAGGAAUUAAAUAGAAAACACAAAACUGGCGAAUCAGAUAUGGUAACAUUAAACAUCACAAUAAAAUAUAGAGCAUUAAAUUGACGAGACCAACAUGUAUCUAUAUCUAUCUAUAUAUCUUAUCCCUGCGAUUUUGUUUUGCUUCUAUAUAAACAACAACAAAGUUGUUGCCAGUUUAAGUCCCACCAAAUUAAACAGAAGUGGUGCAGAGAUACUAUACAGUUAGCACCACUGUCAUCACGGCACCAUUGAAAAGCAAUAUGUCGAGGCCACUAUACUCGAUAGCUGUUGCUGUUUGCAUAGUUUUUGUGGUUAUGUCGACCAUCCCAUCAUGCUAUGGAGAUGAGGAGACAUUCACCGAUGAAGUACCACACUGCAAGAUUGUAGCAUGCACCAACAAAUGCAGAACCCAUCACCAUCCGAAAUACACUGCGCGGUGUAUUCACAACACCAACCCCGAGCAGUGUUGCUGCAAAAAGGAUGACGCCGGCGUGACAAAAUAAUUUCAUGCAUGUUAUUAAUUUCUCGGCUGCGCAGUGUAUGCGUCUAUAUAUUUCUCUUCGAUGCAGAUAAAAUAAACAAGUAUUUAUUUGCAUUAUUA